ACUCCUACGGGAGGCAGCAGUAGGGAAUCUUCCACAAUGGGCGCAAGCCUGAUGGAGCAACACCGCGUGAGUGAAGAAGGGUUUCGGCUCGUAAAGCUCUGUUGUUAAAGAAGAACACGUAUGAGAGUAACUGUUCAUACGUUGACGGUAUUUAACCAGAAAGUCGCGGCUAACUACGUGCCAGCAGCCGCGGUAAUACGUAGGUGGCAAGCGUUAUCCGGAUUUAUUGGGCGUAAAGAGAGUGCAGGCGGUUUUCUAAGUCUGAUGUGAAAGCCUUCGGCUUAACCGGAGAAGUGCAUCGGAAACUGGAUAACUUGAGUGCAGAAGAGGGUAGUGGAACUCCAUGUGUAGCGGUGGAAUGCGUAGAUAUAUGGAAGAACACCAGUGGCGAAGGCGGCUACCUGGUCUGCAACUGACGCUGAGACUCGAAAGCAUGGGUAGCGAACAGGAUUAGAUACCCUGGUAGGAUAGCG
rnacentral:rRNA from 1 species